rnacentral:rRNA from 1 species
GACGAACGCUGGCGGCGUGCUUAACACAUGCAAGUCGAACGGAAAGGCCCUGCUUUUGUGGGGUGCUCGAGUGGCGAACGGGUGAGUAACACGUGAGUAACCUGCCCUUGACUUUGGGAUAACUUCAGGAAACUGGGGCUAAUACCGGAUAGGAGCUCCUGCUGCAUGGUGGGGGUUGGAAAGUUUCGGCGGUUGGGGAUGGACUCGCGGCUUAUCAGCUUGUUGGUGGGGUAGUGGCUUACCAAGGCUUUGACGGGUAGCCGGCCUGGGAGGGUGACCGGCCACCUUGGGACUGAGAUACGGCCCAGACUCCUACGGGAGGCAGCAGUGGGGAAUAUUGCACAAUGGGCGGAAGCCUGAUGCAGCAACGCCGCGUGCGGGAUGACGGCCUUCGGGUUGUAAACCGCUUUCGCCUGUGACGAAGCGUGAGUGACGGUAAUGGGUAAAGAAGCACCGGCUAACUACGUG